UACGUAGGGUGCGAGCGUUUAAUCGGAAUUACUGGGCGUAAAGCGUGCGCAGGCGGUGAUGUAAGACAGAUGUGAAAUCCCCGGGCUCAACCUGGGAACUGCAUUUGUGACUGUAGAGCUGGAGUACGGCAGAGGGGGAUGGAAUUCCGCGUGUAGCAGUGAAAUGCGUAGAUAUGCGGAGGAACACCGAUGGCGAAGGCAAUCCCCUGGGCCUGUACUGACGCUCAUGCACGAAAGCGUGGGGAGCAAACAGG
rnacentral:rRNA from 1 species